rnacentral:lncRNA from 1 species
AAUGUUAUGCCUAUAUAAUCAAGAAAAUUCAUCAAAAAGAAAAAAGAAGGGGGUUUAGUAUUGAUAAACGGCCAAGCUUUUGAUAUUCCAGUAUGCUUCAGUAAAAUUAUGAGGAUUAUUACCAACAAAGUCGUUGCACGAACCGGGGCAUCCUGCUGAUGAAUAAACUGAAGAACCUGCCCAAUCACCACAAAAUGUCAAAUCAAAUAAUAUUUUUUGCUUUGAAAACAUUUUGUCGAUAUCGCAUUUGGUAUCUGGAAAGUCAGCUACGGGUUCACUCCAUUUAGCAGGUUGGGGAGAACCAGAAGUAAUGUCAGAUGGAAUUUCAGAACGAUUAAAAAACCACGAUCGAAUACCUUCACUACGCCAAUCAAGAACAAAUACACCGCCUCCAUUUUUGUUGAAAGCUUCACCAUAAGAAGGACCACUAGGAUUUUCAACACCACAGCCAGCAUUAUACGAGUUUGGAGCAUCAACCCAACAAUUAGUUUGUAAUGCAGUACCAGUCAUAACUCGCUUGAUAUCUUCCAUUUCACAACCGUCACCUGUAUGCAAAGUGACUUGAUUACUAGUACCCACGUUGACACCUUCAACGAUAUCAAUUUCACCACCAUUGGGCCAGUCAUCACCAAGAGUCCAAAAUGCGGGCCAUGUGCCGCAACCAUAAGGCAAGUGUAUAAGAUCCAAAAUAAAGAGUCCAUGUUCAAAGUACUGGGUACUCUGAAGACGAAUAGAAGGGCGACCACUGCUAUAAUUGUGCUUACUAUCGGCGGCCAUAAUGACGUUGGAACUAUUCGCGCUAAUUAGACCAAGCUUAGCACUGCUGUUACGGUCAAGGUAUUGUACGAAGCCAUGGGUGGGAUCAGUAAUGUUCAUAAAAUCAAAGCCGUCGAAGAAUGUGGUGCCUUUAUAUUCUUUAACAAGGCUAUAUGUUUUAGCUUUGUAAGAAGGAUGGCGAUCUCGUACAGCGGUACGAUGUCCCAAGACACCACCCAAGACACCAAUGAGAACACUACAAAUUAAAGCGACUAUAAAAAUUAAUAUCCAAAUAAAGUAACGUCGGUACCAAGGCAAUAACUUUUUCUCUGCAGCCUUUUCGUUAAAGGCUUCAUUGUUUUCGUUAUUAUUAUUGCUAUCAAGGUUUUCAUGGUCAUUAUCGUGAUCAUCAAUUUCAGUGUCUGUAUGAUUGUCGAUAACAUCAUUAGUUGACUCGUUCUUGCGUGCCGGGUCGUAAAUAUUCUCAAAGCUAGCAGAGGACAACGCAGCAGAUGAGAGACUAUGGCGUGAAUCUGUAGUGGAAUCAGGAAUACCCAUUGCAAAAGUAAUAAAAGUUAAUCAAAUUUCAACAAAUUAAAGAAGGGCGAGAAAAAUCAAAAAGAAAGAAAAGAUAAGAAUAAAAAGAGCGGGAAGUAAUGAGACACGAUCAAAUAAAAAAAUGCCAAUCUGGUGAGCUAUGCACCAAGUUCAGAAAUGGAAAUAAAAUGCUAGUAAAAAUAACCAAACUCAAGGAUAUCUUGUUAAAGGGGAAUAAAAAAGGGAAAUAUGGGAUAAUGCUUUGUAGAGAUGAGAAAUGCGGUUUAAAAUGAAAAUAAUUAUUAUCGAAAGACGAUAGAUAGGGAGUUUAUAAUAUGGACAAAAAAUAUGCAGUGAUAUACAAAGAAAGGAUAAAAAGCCAACCAGCUUUAAUUAUAAGUGUAUUUAUAUAUUUCAGUAUAUAGACACGCACAUACACAGACUUAUGAAAUCAGCCUCUCUAAAAGAACGAUUCUGUAAUCUUACUGACUAGGCAAGAUUUUACAUGUAAAUGCGAUUAUAUACUAAUGCAGCCAAAUACUGGGUCUUCUUAAAGCAAAUAUAUGUCUGAGAAAUGAUGGCUGCGAAUGCGGAUACCAGAAAUUGUGGCUUAUACUAAAAGACAAAAUCCGUUCACGUAAGUGGGAGAAUCCACGAUUGUGCUUUUGAAAAAUUCUAUGAAGGAAGCUUACUGCUAGUAAAUGUUACGCUACAGUAAUUCUCACUAUUCGUCAUAUGUUCUCGGUCAAUUAGUUAUAAUACCGAUCAAA